CAGCCGCCGCGGGAAUACGUAGGGUGCAAGCGUUAAUCGGAAUUACUGGGCGUAAAGCGUGCGCAGGCGGUUUGUUAAGACAGAUGUGAAAUCCCCGGGCUCAAUCUGGGAACUGCAUUUGUGACUGGCAAGCUAAAGUGUGGCAGAGGGGGGUGGAAUUCCGCGUGUAGCAGUGAAAUGCGUAGAUAUGCGGAGGAACACCGAUGGCGAAGGCAGCCCCCUGGGCCAAUACUGACGCUCAUGCACGAAAGCGUGGGGAGCAAACAGGAUUAGAUACCCCCGUAGUCCCUGUCUCUUAUAC
rnacentral:rRNA from 1 species